rnacentral:rRNA from 1 species
UAGUCAUAUGCUUGUCUCAAAGAUUAAGCCAUGCAUGUCUAAGUAUAAACAAGUUUGUACUGUGAAACUGCGAAUGGCUCAUUAAAUCAGUUAUAGUUUAUUUGAUGUUAAAUUGCUACAUGGAUAACUGUGGUAAUUCUAGAGCUAAUACAUGCAAUCAAGCCCCGACUUCCGGGAGGGGUGUAUUUAUUAGAUAAAAAACCAACGCGGCUCGCCGCUCUUUUGGUGAUUCAUAAUAACUUUUCGAAUCGCAUGGCCUUGUGCCGGCGAUGCUUCAU